GACGAACGCUGGCGGCGUGCUUAACACAUGCAAGUCGAACGGUGAAAGCGGAGCUUGCUCCGCUGGAUCAGUGGCGAACGGGUGAGUAACACGUGGGCAACCUGCCCCUGACUUCGGGAUAACUCCUCGAAAGAGGUGCUAAUACCGGAUACGAAUCCUGCAGGCAUCUGCGGGAUUGGAAAGUUUUUCGGUCAGGGAUGGGCCCGCGGCCUAUCAGCUUGUUGGUGAGGUAGGGGCUCACCAAGGCGACGACGGGUAGCCGGCCUGAGAGGGGGCACGGCCGCACUGGGACUGGGACACGGCCCAGACUCCUACGGGAGGCAGCAGUGGGGAAUAUUGCGCAAUGGGCGAAAGCCUGACGCAGCAGCGCCGCGUGAGGUAUGACGGCCUUCGGGUUGUAAACCUCUUUCAGCAGGGAAGAAGCGAAAGUGACGGUACCUGCAGAAGAAGCACCGGCUAACUACGUGCCAGCCGCCGCGGUAA
rnacentral:rRNA from 1 species